AGCAGACUCCCCACUGAGCAGGGAGCUGGACUCAGGACACGAUCCCAGGACCCUGGGAUCAUGACCCGAGCUGAAGGCAGCCACUUAACCGACUGAGCCACGCAGGUGCCCCGUACUCAGUUCAUAUUUAUCACGCACCAACUCGGUGGUUGAGAAUCUUCUUGUGGCAGAAUCUGUCUCCAUUACCGUCUAGCUGGACUGAGUUAUGUGGGAUAUGGAGCCUGCAACAAUGUGAUGGCAUUUUGCAGAAAGAAAAGAAAAAAUAAAACACCAGGAUGAUUUCCUCGAGAAGUUUCUUACUUUCAGAAAACUACACAGGUGUGGCUGAGUGCUAUACAAAGUGUGCAGUCAGCCUCUCUCUGCCCGGCAUCCAAACAGGCUGCCGAGGGUACCUGCAGCCUGGGCGUCGGUGAGGUAUGAAGAUGGCUCAGGUAGGUACUGAAAGAUGACUGUGACAUGCCUGGGGAACAAGUAAACCAUCUUUAAGCCCCGUGGGC